AGGGGGAGGCGAAUCCCAAAAAUAACGUCUCAGUUCGGAUUGUAGUCUGCAACUCGACUACAUGAAGCUGGAAUCGCUAGUAAUCGCGAAUCAGAAUGUCGCGGUGAAUACGUUCCCGGGUCUUGUACACACCGCCCGUCACACCAUGGGAGUUGGUAACGCCCGAAGCCAGUGACCUAACCGAAAGGGAGGAGCUGUCGAAGGCGGGACCGAUAACUGGGGUGAAGUCGUAACAAGGUAAC
rnacentral:rRNA from 1 species